UACGAAGGGGGCUAGCGUUGCUCGGAAUUACUGGGCGUAAAGGGCGCGUAGGCGGACGUUUAAGUCAGAGGUAAAAGCCCAGGGCUCAACCUUGGAACUGCCUUUGAUACUGGACGUCUUGAGUACGGGAGAGGUGUGUGGAACUCCGAGUGUAGAGGUGAAAUUCGUAGAUAUUCGGAAGAACACCAGUGGCGAAGGCGACACACUGGCCCGUUACUGACGCUGAGGCGCGAAAGCGUGGGGAGCAAACAGG
rnacentral:rRNA from 3 species